AGAGUGAACGCUGGCGGCGUGCCUAACACAUGCAAGUCGAGCGAAGUGGCAGCUGUAGCAAUACAGUAUGUGCUUAGCGGCAGACGGGUGAGUAACACGUAGACAACCUACCUCUUAGAGGGGGAUAGCUCGCCGAAAGGCGAGGUAAUACCCCAUACGAUCAAGAUUCGGCAUCGUUUCUUGAUGAAACAUCCGCAAGGAUGGCCAAGAGAGGGGUCUGCGGCCUAUCAGCUAGUUGGUGAGGUAAUAGCUCACCAAGGCUAAGACGGGUAGCCGGCCUGAAAGGGUGUUCGGCCACACUGACACUGAGAUACGGGUCAGACUCCUACGGAGCAGCAGUGAGAUUUGACAAUGGGGAACCUGAUCAGCGACG
rnacentral:rRNA from 1 species